rnacentral:rRNA from 1 species
ACAGAGGUCCCGAGCGUUAGGCGGAAUCACUGGGCUUAAAGCGUGUGUAGGCGGAUUGACAAGUACCUUGUGAAAUCCCACGGCUCAACUGUGGAACUGCUUGGUAUACUGUUGAUCUUGAGACAUCUAGGGGCAACUGGAACAAACGGUGGAGCGGUGAAGUGCGUAGAUAUCGUUUGGAACGCCAAUGGUGAAAACAGGUUGCUGGGGAUGUACUGACGCUGAGACACGAAAGCGAGGGGAGCAAAGGG